rnacentral:rRNA from 1 species
UACGUAGGGGGCUAGCGUUGUCCGGAAUUAUUGGGCGUAAAGAGCUCGUAGGCGGUCUGUCGCGUCGGCUGUGAAAACCCAGGGCUCAACUCCGGGCCUGCAGUCGAUACGGGCAGACUAGAGUUCGGUAGGGGAGACUGGAAUUCCUGGUGUAGCGGUGAAAUGCGCAGAUAUCAGGAGGAACACCGGUGGCGAAGGCGGGUCUCUGGGCAGUAACUGACGCUGAGGAGCGAAAGCGUGGGGAGCGAACAGG